rnacentral:rRNA from 1 species
GACAGCAGCCGCCGCGGUAAAACGGAGGGUGCAAGCGUUAAUCGGAAUUACUGGGCGUAAAGCGCACGCAGGCGGUUUGUUAAGUCAGAUGUGAAAUCCCCGAGCUUAACUUGGGAACUGCAUUUGAAACUGGCAAGCUAGAGUCUUGUAGAGGGGGGUAGAAUUCCAGGUGUAGCGGUGAAAUGCGUAGAGAUCUGGAGGAAUACCGGUGGCGAAGGCGGCCCCCUGGACAAAGACUGACGCUCAGGUGCGAAAGCGUGGGGAGCAAACAGGAUUAGAUACCCCUGUAGUCCCUGUCUCUUAUAU